UAUGAUGCAGAUUCUUCA
rnacentral:miRNA from 1 species